ensembl:lncRNA
GAACCUUACAGAUUAAUAGGUUUUUAUUGCGUAAAUGAUUGAAAAAGCUGAAAUUUUUUAAACUGAAAAUGACACAUUUCACAUUGGAUCUGUUUUCUUGUUUAAAAAACUUGCAGAAAAGUAUUCAAUUAAAUUUGGACACUGUGGAGUUUAGGUUCUGAAUGAGUUAAGGAAAAAAAAAUUUUUUUUAUCAACAUAUGGCUUAGAGAAAUAAAGUUAAAUUAAAAAAAGACAAAACAAUUGAGCAAAAAACAAAAACAAAAAACAGCACAAAAAAUGACUUGCUGAUAUCACUCCAUUUCAUUCAAAUAUGGUCACUUCUGGCUAAGACAUAAGACAAAAAUGCCAGCAAACAAAAUACUAACACUGAAGCAUUCAUGCUCAGAAUGAAAUCAUAAUAGUCAGUACAGACUACACAUGCUUCGUUCUACACCCAGACUGUACAACCCCACAUCUAGAUUGGAAUAACUGGGAAGAGACACCGGCCUAGGAUGUGUGUUUCUUGAUUAUUUUGUGAUCAUUUCAAAUUUUGACAUACACAUGUUUUUCAACUCUACUCUUUUAGACCUCUUUUGGAGGACAGAGCCACAGCAAAAGACAGUUAUAAGAAAAAAACCUAUAAUGUAGCGUUUUCAUGUGGUGAAACUGAAAUAAAAGCAGUCAUUUUGGAGCCAGACAGUUCAAUCCAUCAUUGAAUUUAUUGCAUCUCAAAGGGCUUACAUGCACAUGGGGAGGGCCAUUGUAAAUAAAAUAAAUUUACAACUAAACAAAAAUACAAUUUUCAUAAUUUAGUCAUGAAAAAUGUUAAUAAUCUCCCAUUAUUUUCUCUGAAUCACAUCUGAUUCACACAACCAAUCCACUAAGAGGACAACACACAGAGUAAGCUUGAUAACUGUCUGUAGUUUACAGCACAGGAGAGGGGGACCGGUGUUAAACAAUGUCCAAACAUAUGCAUAUGUCAACACUGAAAACAUACACAUUUCAAUGUAAGUAAGCAGGAACAGAAGUGCUUUGGGUAACACGUUCAGAAGGUUCGACAGUGACCUCCUGUGGGUUUCUCUACACACUGUUCCUCAUGUGGCCACAUACAGAAUUACAUACAGUUCCACUAAAAAUUGGCCGAUCGUCAGUACUGAUCAUAUGAAGAACUCAAACGCAGUGUUCAGACAGCAGCAGGAUCGGAUUUUUUUCUUCACAUUAUAACUUGGCCACGUUUGCUCAGUGGGUGCAUACUGCUAGAUAACACUGAAGUUAAAGGUACCAUGUGGAGUUUUCCACUGCUAACAGGAGUAAGGUUUUGAUGAGGAGGUGUAAACACUGUACAUUUCAAAGGUUUUUCUUUACAUGAAGUAAAUGCUUCGUAUUCAUAACCAUAAUCAACGGAUCGGGGAUACUUAAACAGCUUUCUUUGGUGUGAAAUACUGAAUGCAAGCAGAAUAUCGUAUGCAAACUCCAUAACGUACCUUUAAUCCGCACCCAAGUCAGUGAUGGGAUUUUCUAGUUGUUGCUAGGUUACCAUGUUGAUUAACUGCUGUUCUUAGAAAUGACUCAAUAUAAAUUUCAAUCCUUAAAUCAACUGGAUGUCAGAUUGAUUAAUUUGGGCUGGCUGAACACAGGGUUUGGUAUGGCAUUGCUAUUGAGAAAGUCUGAAAGAAAGAACAGGCACCAGACAUUCCCCGUGUGAGAAGUGUCAAAAGCAGACUUACGUAGACAGUUAGACAGGAAUAGUCUGAAUUUACCUCCGUGCUGAAGAAGUACAUUUUAAGAUAUGUCCUGUAAUAGCAAUACCAGCAAAUAUCAGUAGCAGUAUGGAGGAUUAUUCUAAAACAAAGAGAACAUAUACAAAUGAAUAACAUAAAACAAAAACACAAAAGAAGAAAUGUAGAAAAAUAAGCCACCAGUUAAAAACAAGAAAAACAAGAGAAACAAACAAAAGGAUCACUUGCUGGUCUUGUAUGACUCAGAAGCCCAUAGAAGAGGUUUCUAAAUACACAGUAUAUUAAUCAUGUAGCGGUAGUCAUAUUUGCUUCCAAAUAGUGUUGAAAGAUGAUGGUAAAUAGAAGGAUACUCACACCACUUCUUACAACUUCAUGUCUGACUCACAUUUAUAUUUCUCUUCAACACACGUACAGAAUAGAGACGAAAUCCUCGCCCGGAGAAAUCUAUGUACAUCAAAGAGGACCUUUCUGUAAACAACACACAGCAUGUUUCUCAGAAAAAUCUCCCGGGGCUUUGUUUGUUUUUCCCACUCUCAUCCAAUCAGAGUGGGACAAAAGGAGAGCCCCUCCCCCUUUACAAGGAGGUACAGACAAAGAAAGGGGUGGAGACAAAUAAGGGGAGGAGCUCAGGACACCAAAGCACAUCCAUCAUUCGACUUAGUACUAGAAAUGAAUCCGAACACGUACGCCUUCGCUUUCUCACGCUUAAUUUUCUUUUUUAAGUGAUUUUGUUUAGACAAAAGUUUGGUACAUCGACAUAAGCACACGCUUUUAUUUUUUUCUCGUAUAUUUAUAUGUAAUCCGCUAUGGUUCACUUUCACAGUUUGUGCUACAACAUCACACAGGAGAAGGGCUGGGCUGGAGUAGGGUGGAGAAAAGAGGCUCUUAAUAAGGUUGAAUAGCUGAACAUCGCUGGUGUUCUGAGAUGUUGACAGACACCAGGUAAAAAGGUGAGGGGGCUCUCAUCCAAAGAGGGAAGCAGCU